rnacentral:rRNA from 1 species
UACGUAGGGUGCAAGCGUUAAUCGGAAUUACUGGGCGUACAGGGAGCGUAGGCGGUUGGGUAAGCCCUUCGUGAAAUCUCCGGGCCUAACCCGGAAAGUGCGGAGGGGACUGCUCGGCUAGAGGAUGGGAGAGGAGCGCGGAAUUCCCGGUGUAGCGGUGAAAUGCGUAGAGAUCGGGGAGGAAGGCCGGUGGCGAAGGCGGCGCUCUG